UAAUGUGAAUUGCAGAAUUCAGUGAAUCAUUCGAAUCUUUCGAACGCACCUUGCGCUCCUUGGUAUUCCGAGGAGCAUGCCUGUUUGAGUGUCAUU
rnacentral:rRNA from 1 species